rnacentral:lncRNA from 1 species
AUUUAGAAUAAAUCAUAAUUGAGGAAGGAUGACUUUGUCAAUGAGAUUAAAUAAGAUUACGAAGAUCAUCGAAGAUUACGCUUGACGUGUAUAUAUUUAUUACGAUUGUACUAUAUAUAGAUUGCUUUUACCAUUUUUAAAUUAUAUAUUGUAACUAUAUAAUUCAGAGAUGUCCCAAGGGAUAAUUAUUCAGCUAAAAGAUUGACAUGGUAUUACAGCCUCUUGGAAUUUUCUCUUGUUUUUCUUGGUUGGCUUUUUUCACGGCAGGAGGAGCUUUCUAUCAUCUUCUUCCCUUGCUUUCUUCAAAUUUUCCCAAGUAGAGCAGAGUAGUAUAACAGUAGGUGUUGGUUGAAAAACUAACCUUGUUUGAUUUCUUCGUACAGCAUCAACGGUUCUUGGCUGUCGGCUCAUCUCUGCAUCUUGGGCUGCCGGCGCGGGGUUUCAUCUGUUCAGCAUUUCCAUCUUGGGUCGCCUUCGUUUCUGUUCAACUUCUGGGUUGCUUGCGACUCGGCUGUGUGAAAAAUUUGUAGGCUACCAGCGAUUCUGAUUGAAUGAGUUCUUCAUUGCUGAUCGGAAUCUGAUCAGUAGACACUUGAUCGAAAUUUUUAGUAUCGGGGCUGCUACUGUGCUGGGGUAAUUAGUGUGUUCGGCUGGAAGGGUUUGCCCAUUGCAGGUGGUGUUUUGCAACAUGCUUCGCAAAAACUAUAGUCUCCUAAAAUUCAGCUGCCAAGUGUGUGUAACCUGAUUAAUUAUUUGCUUAAAGUAUAAAGGGAAGAAGAAGAAGGAGAAGUGCAGCAAGGGUCUGGUUUUUGGGGAAAGAUAUCCAGUAAUAUGGGUUGGACAUGGUUUGUGUCUAUGGGUUUGGUUUGGUCGGGGUAGUUGGGGCAUGUGGGAAUUGGACGUAGAUUUUAUUGGGUUAGGGUUAUUUGUCUGGGGGCUUGAGUAAGUUAGGGUAAUAUUGGUUCAAGAAUGUAUGAGUGCCAAUUGUAAUUAUCUUUGGGUUUUCGGUAGUAUAUUCAAGACGUGGGGCAAACAUCAUCAUCUUUUGAAGAUCGGAGGAUAGGAGAGCACUCAUCAAGGGGGGUGGGGUGCAUAAUUAUGGGAUAUUUUUCUUUGAAUAUUUGGCUUUGACUCCAAAGUCAAUAGGUGCGAAUGGUGGGGAAGAUGUGGGCCCUUGUCUUAAGAAGGGUGUGGAUGCUGAAGGGAUUUUCUAGGUAGUUGUGAAAAUGUUUCUUGUGGUGAUUUUAGCUUUCGGAUGAUGAGCUAAUUUUGGAUUCUCGAAGGAGGAUCACCCUUGAGUGGUUUUGGAUUCUCGAAGGAGGAUCAUCUUUGAAUUUUUUGUGUAGGCUGUUUUGGGGGAUUUCUUCUAACUACUACAUCUUAACCAGCGAUAUAUUGCUGAAUUUUUGGCUGGUUUAUUGCAUUAGAGCUUUUGUCAGAAUAAGAAUUAUGUGUGCGACUAAGUUCUAUAGAGCUCGUGUGUGUCAGCACACUUCGUGAAUUUCUUUUGGAAAUUCUUCUUGGGGAGUAAGCUCUCUGAAGUGGUUUUGUAAUGUUCUUGGAAUGGUUUUUGGUUGUUUCUCAGCGCUACUUCUCGUUCUUAGAUCUCUUAUCGCACUAUUUUUCAUAGAUUGUUGUUGGUAUCGUCAUCAGUUCAUGAUUGCAGAAUCAAUUUGACAAGGAAUAAUGAGAUUGGAUAAGAUUACGAAUAUCGUCGAAGAUUAUAGAUUGACAUCUAUAUUAUCAUUAUAAUUGUACCAUAUAUAGAUAAAUUGCUUUUACCACAUUUAUAUUAUAUAUUAUAACUAUAUAAUUCAACGAUAUCCUAAGGGAAAAUGAUUCAGCCAAAAGAUAGACGGACUUAAAGAAUG